GACGAACGCUGGCGGCGUGCUUAACACAUGCAAGUCGAACGGAAAGGCCCUGCUUUUGUGGGGUGCUCGAGUGGCGAACGGGUGAGUAACACGUGAGUAACCUGCCCUUGACUUUGGGAUAACUUCAGGAAACUGGGGCUAAUACCGGAUAGGAGCUCCUGCUGCAUGGUGGGGGUUGGAAAGUUUCGGCGGUUGGGGAUGGACUCGCGGCUUAUCAGCUUGUUGGUGGGGUAGUGGCUUACCAAGGCUUUGACGGGUAGCCGGCCUGAGGGGGUGACCGGCCACAUUGGGACUGAGAUACGGCCCAGACUCCUACGGGAGGCAGCAGUGGGGAAUAUUGCACAAUGGGCGGAAGCCUGAUGCAGCAACGCCGCGUGCGGGAUGACGGCCUUCGGGUUGUAAACCGCUUUCGCCUGUGACGAAGCGUGAGCGACGGUAAUGGGUAAAGAAGCACCGGCUAACUACGUG
rnacentral:rRNA from 1 species